rnacentral:lncRNA from 1 species
AGUCUGGUUUAGGCAAGUCAACCUUAGUUAACAGCUUGUUUUUGACAGAUUUAUAUGCAGAUAAAAUAAGGAAAACAGCUAAUGAACGUGUGAAAAGUACCCUUGAAAUUAAAACAUCCUCUGUAGAAAUAGAAGAACGUGGUGUGAAGCUUAAAUUAACAGUAGUUGACACUCCAGGUUUUGCUGACAGUAUCGAUUGCACAGAAAGUUUUAUACCAAUAAAAGAUUAUAUUGAGCAGCAGUUUGAGAAUUAUUUGAAUGAUGAAUCUGGUUUGAAUCGAAGAAAUAUUACUGAUAAUCGUGUUCACUGUUGCUUUUAUUUUAUCAAUCCAUCAGG